rnacentral:misc_RNA from 1 species
AAGUCGUAACAAGGUUUCCGUAGGUGAACCUGCGGAAGGAUCAUUAGUGAAUUUAGGGUGACUAUUCGUGGUGCCCGACCUCCGCUUCUAGCACUGUGCACUUAUUGGCGAGAAUUUUGAAUAGUAAGGUGGCGUUCUGCGCCUCACGAACUUCAAAUCUCUUGCGGCUUUAUUUUAUAACUCCAAGUUAAAGAAUGUAACCAAAUAUAAAACAAAAAAAA